rnacentral:lncRNA from 1 species
CCGUCACCUAGCGACAAAUCCCUGCGGCUUGGCGGAGACAGAGAACUUUGUGGAGGUGCCUAGGCGGUGGACUCUCGCCUGUCUUCUCUGUGGGAUCCACGGGAUAGUCCCAUGAUCCUAGGAGAGGGCAGACGUGAGCCAGCCUGAAGAAACGCCAAGCAGGAGCCCCAGGAAUAAACCGCAAAAUCCCUAAGGAUCCAAAAGGAUCUGCAGGAUGCCUCAGGCCUGCCUAGUCAUCGUAGGGAGACAAGGUCUGGCUCUGUCACCCAAGCUGGAGUACAGUGGCACCAGCUCCACUCACUGUAACCUUUGCCUCCCAAGUUGAAGUGAUUCCUGUGCCUCAGCCUCCCAAGUAGCUGGGACUACAGAUAUGGACACUAUUGAUGGGAGCGGCUGGCCAUCUGGAGUGGCAGUUGCCAUCAUGCCAGUAGCGCUUGGGCCGCAUGGGCAGUGUUGUCAGGAGCAGCAGCAGGAGCAGCAGUGGCGGUGGUAGGACCCCGUUCCCUGUGUCCCCAAGGCAUCUGACUGCGCCGCCGCCCCCUAAUGGCUGGGCAGGACCCACUGCCAGGUGCAGACCCUCCAUGGCGGCCUCAAUUUCGCUUCCUACCACAUCUGGGAGCCCAUCAGCGCUGGCAGCCGGGUCUUGCAGGAUUGGCCCCAGGAGCAUCAGGUUCAUUUGUGCGGCAUUAGCCAGGGCCCCCAUGCCACCUGCACCUCGCCCAUGCACUACUGCAGGGAAAACGCAGAGAGGAGUCACGGCCAAGGCUGCACACUCUAUGGAGCCAGUGGCAGCUGGGGACAAGUGGGAGCCCAGCCCCUUCCAAGUUGCCAGGGCAGGAACUCCCCAGGCGCAACUGCAGCUGCCCAAGGAGGGUCUGCGACCCAGGCACUCCUGUGCUCUUGGGAGCCAGGAGAAGGCAGGAGCCCCACCCUCCCAGGCACAGCUGGAGCCUUUCAAGCCACAGCUGCAGACCCAGGCACCUCUGCACUCUUGGGGCCUGGGAAGGCCCCCGUGACCACACAGGCUCGGAAGUGCCUGCCCCCACUGUCUGGGUUCUCCUCGCUGUCAGCACCUGCUCCAAUCUUCGAGCAAAGUUGAGGUCGAGCACACUAUAUUGUGACCAAUAUAAAAUAGAUAUAAAAAUACCUCUUACACUUAAAUCCAGGCAUUGCCAUUUGAAUGACUUAAGAAUAUGCAGCUAAGGUGCUUUUAAAAAUACAAGCUAGUGAUUAUACUGAAUUUGUAAAUCACGUAGGAUAGUGAGUCAUUUUAGAAUAUUAAUUAUUUCAGUCCAUAAACCUGGAUGUCUUUCCUUUUUUGUGUUUUCUUUAAUUUCUUUCAUUGAUGUUUGUAAUUUUUGUUAUAGAAAUCAUUUACUUCCUCGGUUAAGUUUAUUUCUAAGUACAUUUUUGUAGCUAUUGUAAAAGAAAUAGCUUCCUUAAUUUUUUUUCUGCUAGUUUACUAUCAACAUAUAGAAAUGCUACUGUUUUUUGUAUGUUGAUUUUAUAUCCUG